UCAGAUGUCCUUUUCCUCUUUUUGGUAAGAAUUUCCCAUACAGUGGACUCAGAUUGUUCGCUCUGCUCAUGGCUACCAGGGGCCUGAUCUUUUCCUUUGGUAGCUUUGUUCUUCUUGGUGUAAUAAGCCAAAAGGUCUGCAUCGGUCAUCGAAGACAUCUUGGCUGCAAAACAAAAUUGCAAAAUGUAAUAUUAGUUUUCAAAGUCGGUUUGGAUGCGAACCAAAAAUAGCAUCAUUGUGAACUUAUCUAAUGCAUUUUUUUAACAGAGAAGCUCCAACGGAUAAGCUCAAAAAAGUGUUAAUUGGUCCGCAUCCAACCGAAUCAUACCCGGAAAAAUUAAGCAUCUGGUUUGUUUUCCAAAUUGAUUAUAUCAGAGCUACUGAGUAUAGGAAACUUCUCAAGGAAGCUUGCAUCAAUUCGUUCGACAGGCGUAAGGCUAGAUCGGUCAGUCACACUAAGGUAGCUUUGUUCUUCUUGGUGUAAUAAGCCAAAAGGUCUGCAUCGGUCAUCGAAGGCAUCUUGGCUGCAGAACAAAAUUGCAAAAUGUAGUAUUAGUUUUCAAAGUCGGUUUGGAUGCGAACCAAAAAUAGCAUCAUUGUGAACUUAUCUAAUGCAUUUUUUUAACAGAGAAGCUCCAACGGAUAAGCUCAAAAAAGUGUUAAUUGGUCCGCAUCCAAACGAAUCAUACCCGAAAAAAUUAAUGCAGCUAAGUUAUAAUUUUUUAAAAAAAAAGUAGUUAAAGUUACCUA
rnacentral:lncRNA from 1 species